AAAAAAAAGUAACAUAAAAGGAAGAAAAUGUACCUUUUUUAUGGAAUGAGUAGACUGUAUGUUUGAAACUUUUGUCAUAACCUCUUUGACAUAUAACAACCCAACAAAAAGGUGCUGUUUAGUCCUACCGUUCAGUUUAUGCCCCUGAGACGUUUCCAUUGUGUUUGCAAAUUGUCUGGCUAUAGCGGUGUUCUCCAUGUUAUUAGUAAUUCUGUAUUCCAUUUUGUUAACGCCUGGUAGAUAUAACCUGCUAGGAGGCUAACUUUAUACUUAUUUAAAGCUCUUAUUUUGUGGUCAUUAAAAUGGCAACUUAUGUGCAGCACUUUAUUGCAGCAAGAAGCAGGUGUGGAUUGGUUGUACAACCCCUCGCUAUUCUUAAAAAGUCAGGGGUGAUGUAAAAAGAAAAGAAUCUUUGGCUAAACAUGUUAAUGGCUUGUAUUUUUAAGACAACAGAAUUUCCAGUAUGAAACAGGCUAAAAAAGCAGGAAGAAAUGUGCUUUGUAUGAUAAUGGGAAGUUUGGAAUAUAAAGUUUAUAUAUUAUUUAUCUGUGAAGAACUGGUGUACAGGAGGAAUGCUUUCUUACUGCGUUGCUGUUUUCCAUCAUGUGUUACCCUAGAGGUGGGAUUUUUUUUUUCCAUCUGUUUUCAUCCGGAGGGAAAUAAAAGCAUCCCGAAUUUUCUUCCUCUAGUCGGUUUGCUUCCCCGAAAGCUCCCCCUUGUACAAAGUGCAGGAAGCCGGAAGUCUGCACCUUCUGUCCACACACGCUCCUCCCCCACACCCACCCUUCCUCCCCCAGACCUGGCAGGUGUGCCCCGCUCCCCUUGCCAGUCACCCAGCCCUGGCAAGCCUGUUUACACUAAGGAGCUGUCCCCGGGGGCGGGGAGGCCGAGCCAGCGAGGGCGGGAAGCUCCCGCUCCCUGGGUCGUUCUCCAGCAGAGACGCCUGUUCUUGGCCACGUUUGAAAUGUCACUCAGCGUCGCCCUGUCAGUGUUUCAGUCAAAGGCACUGUAGACAGCCUCCACCUGGUGCCGCUGUGACUGCUAAGUGCUCUGCCGACCACGUGUCGGGUGUUUUCUGGAGAAGAGCAAACGGUUUUCUUUUAAAAGGAACGUUCAUUGGAUGGGAAGACAACACGUGCUUUCCAGAGACAUAGGAAAAUGACUGACCUAUGCCCCUCAUCAGACAAAAACAAAAGUGGGAAACUAGAAAGAGUGAAGCAGGUAAGAGGGGAAAGCCAAUCCCAGGACGCUUUGGCAAGACAGUUGCUGCAGUGAAGAACUGGCAUUGAGUCACCGUGGG
ensembl:lncRNA